rnacentral:rRNA from 1 species
UUUUGCAUAUUUGUGCUCUUUGGGUGUAUUUGUUCGUAUGGUGGGUUAACAUCAAUUUUGGUCGUCAUAAAAUGACGGGAGGAAUGUAGCUUUGGUCUCGUAUUGAAGUGUUAUAGCCUCUGGUAGAUGUGACGACCGGGAUUGAGGAUUGCAACGGAUACCUCUCGGGGCUACUCGCCUGAUCUCUGAUCGUUACUCUGGUGCCGAAAGCUUGCUUAUGUCAUCAAAGUUGAUGGUCAAAAGGUUAGAACGGGUUAAAUUCGUUAAGGAUGUUGACGUA